GAGCGGGAGGCGGAGAAGGAGGCGAGGAAAGUCAGCAAGAGCAUCGACCGGGCGCUCAAGGAGCAGAAGCGGGAGUACAAGCAGACGCACCGCCUGCUGCUGCUGGGCAUAGCAGUUAACUUCAAGAUCAGAUCAUGAAAGGUCAUCUUGUGCUGAAACCUUUGUACAGGACAAGCACUGAUCUGGCAUUUUUGUAAUGGCUGAUGUAUUUUUCAGUCACCUGACAGACAUGAGUUAAAACUCUUCUGCCAGACAAUCUUCCAACUAACACUAGGGAAUAGUUCCUUUUGGAAGGCCAAGUGGCCUCAAAGAGCACUUCGGAGCGGGACACAGUGAAUUGGCACAAGUGCAUCACACCCUGUUACAGUCAAUGCAGCAGCUAAGAACACUGUAGUUUCCCAUCAGAAAGCUGUGAAGAAUCCUGUCAGUGUUCAGUAUUCACGCCUCUUUUGGGUGCGGAUUUCCCUGAAGCAGUUUUGUUAUGCAGAGGUUAUAGUUUUGGGAAGAACUGAAUAUCAUGCCAGCACCUUUAGCUGUUCAAGAGGCACACAAAGCAUUCUGGCCUACCACAGGAGACCUGUACAAAGUUACGAUGGACAUCUAAGCUAUGAUGUGCUACAGCCAUAAGUGAGGAGAUAAAUUUGAGAACUCAAGAUAGAAAACUGCAGAGCUUGGGCGAGGACCAGAUAAAUUGUUCGUGUAUGAGAACUGCGAGGAAGACUUUUCACUUACACUAUAAAGAGCAUUAAUAUACUACUAGGAAAAAAACUAAAAAUGUUCUCCUUAUUCAUAUUGGCAUGCAUCAAGCCAACUGAACUAAAGCAAGAAACAUUCUUUCUAAUAAUAUGAAAUAAAUUGUACAUGAGCUCAGAUUGAUGUGUCCUGAGGGGGACAGGCUGGUUUGUGCAGCUUUUCAUUGCCAUCAUACAAGUUUAAGAUCUAAACCAGUAAUUCUCCAAAAAACACAGUGGUAGGUCUUAAAACUUCAAAGUUAUUCAACCAUUGGCAGAUCUCAUUUCCUUUUUCAUAAUACAUACUUUGCCUUCUUGCCACUAUCUCAUCCAGAGAAAUUUGGAAGCUUGAUAAGCCUUGUUUUAUGUUGUUAUAUGUGGUAGACUUAGGAACUUUCAUUGCCCAAAUCACUACUUGUAUUUUAAGUGUUAAUGAUGGGGUUGCACUUUCAUGUAAAUAUAAAAAAAAAAGUACAGUCUGGUGACCUUCACUGCUGAAAAAGCACUAUUUGAUGCAGUGUGGUUAUGGAACCAGGUACACAUAAAAGUCUUCUCUCUUUCUUCGUGUCUGAGAUGGAUAUUUUUUUCCUUUGUUCAUUUUGUUAAUUACACAGAGUAAAGUGAUCUUGUGGGAAAAGAACUUGCAUUACACCAACCACUAUAGUUGGGAGAAACUGGGCAUGCUGUUGUGCACAUGACGUUUUGCGUCUUUUAUGGUCAGAGCAUCACUUUCAUCCUGCAAUCCAAUGUAUUGCAAGAGCCGAGCUGCCUUCUAAGGAAUCCAAGAAUGUGGCUAUUUUAUUCUACAACAUCAUAAAGGGGGAAUUUUUUUUACCAUUAGGGAUUCUUUUUACCUUUGUUCACGGUUUCUGUUUUGCUCUUUCUUGUUCAAUGAGAGUUUGAAAAGUUAGGGUUGUAAUACCUGCAGGGCAGUCUAAAUUCUGUCCCCUUCAAGAACUGAUCUGGUAACAGGAAGGGUCCUGUCCCACAGCUGUCUGAUGUGGGUCCCAAACUGAAAAUGAGCAAGAAUCAGGAACUGAGAAACACAGUUAGUUCUUGAUAUUCGGGAAAACUGGCUGCUCAGCACCUUGGCACAUGCACUGUGAUGUGUCGCUUGUGAAGAAGCGGUUACUACUUUAUAGCUGGAGGGAAGAAAUGGUGUCACGUGGACUCACUGUUAAAAAGACCAGCAUUCUUCUCAUCUAUCAAAUAAUGCUUUUUAGAUCAUGAUUGGAGUUACAUGCAAAUUUAAAUAGGUGCAGAAAAUAAGGUGUAAUUGUUACAGUCACUUUAUGAGUACUUUGUCUAUAUAGUCUCUGGAAAGUAGAUGGUUUCUGCAGAGAAUUAAUGGGUGGUAGCACUUCAGUCUUUCCAUGAAAUGACAUUCUGCUGUUGACUAGCUUACAGCAAAAUAUAACUUCAUUGUGCUUUAAUACUUUUUUUUAAAAGCUGUUAAACAUAUGUAGCUGCUAAUCAUUGGACAACGCUAAUUCACAAUAUUUCUAGCUUGGAACAUAUAAGAAAUAAUUCCUUAGUUCAGAAGGUGUAUAAUCCUCAAAGAGUAAUUGCUUAAGAAACAGGCUGGUUGCUUCAUCUGUUACAUAUUUUGCAUUUAAAACAUGGUGGUUUUCAAACCACGAUGUUUCAGUGGUAUUGGCAACAGUCAAAGACUUAAUAUUGCUUGUGGGUGGAGUCAAGAUUUCUGUACAAAAUGUUGGCAACUGAGACUGGCAAGAUUUCCUUUGCAGACUUAGUAAGUGAAUCCAUAUUAAAUGACAUGAUAUUGUGUCUUCUAUCUAACUCACACUGUACGUUACCAAAUAGUUAAGUGCAAAGCCAGUGAUUCCACGCUUUGUUAUUACACAGUAAAACUAAUACGGACACCUUUCUGUCUUCUACUGAAUUGAUAAAUUCUGUUUGUAUGUGCAUAAAAAGUAUGUAUGUAUGAGUUUGUUGGACGUAGUAAAUGAACUUUUGUUUAAAAAUUCAACCAAAUCCUUAAAAAACCGUCUGUCUGCAUCAUUUAUAAAAGGAAAAAAAAAAUACAGAGUAAUAUUAAGAAAUCUGUUUUAGGUUAUCUGUGUCAC